UUAGAUUAUGCUACAGCUCUCGUUGAGUAUACUUGGAGAUGUUAAAAAUUAUCUUCUUACUUGUUGCCACGAUGAUAUUAUGCACUAUUUUCGUAAUGAUCUAAAGUGUUUAUAUUCCUGCAAACCAAGCGAACCCAACAGUCUUAACGACGCUACUAUCGUCAGCACAUCGCUGUUUGAAACAAUGCAGGAGAUAAAGAUAAGCAGCAAACAACUGUCAAGUUUGCAGCGGAUAUACGAGGAAAAAAAAGCUUUAGAAAUAAAGAGAAACGACAAGAUAUUUAUCCUGACCCAGAAAGUUUCCCGCCUUGAGCUAAAAGUUGAGGAACUUUUGCGCGAAAAGAAAGCUUUAGAAGAAUAUAUAAAAAU